rnacentral:rRNA from 1 species
UACGAAGGGGGCAAGCGUUGUUCGGAAUUACUGGGCGUAAAGGGCGCGUAGGCGGCCGAUCAAGUCAGGCGUGAAAUUCCCGGGCUCAACCUGGGGGCUGCGCUUGAUACUGAUUGGCUUGAAUGCGGGAGAGGAUAGUGGAAUUCCCAGUGUAGAGGUGAAAUUCGUAGAUAUUGGGAGGAACACCGGUGGCGAAGGCGGCUUCCUGGACAGUUAUUGACGCUGAGACGCGAAAGCGUGGGGAGCAAACAGG